UAUAAAACAGAAGGCUAAAAGGUGGAAC
rnacentral:piRNA from 1 species